CCUACGGGUGGCAGCAGUGGGGAAUAUUGCACAAUGGGGGAAACCCUGAUCCAGCGAAGCCGCGUGAGUGAAGAAGUAUCUAGGUAUGUAAAGCCCUAUCAGCAGGGAAGAUAAUGACGGUACCUGACUAAGAAGCCCCGGCUUACUACGUUCCAGCAGCCGCGGUAAUCCGUAGGGGGCAAGCGGUAUCCGGAUUUACUGGGGGUAAAGGGUGCGUAGGUGGCAGGGCAAGUCAGAUGGGAAAGCCCGGGGCUCAACCCCGGUACUGCAGUUGAAACUGUCCAGCUGGAGUGCAGGAGAGGUAAGCGGAAUGCCUAGUGUAGCGGUGAAAUGCGUAGAUAUUAGGAGGAACACCAGUUGCGAAGGCGGCUUACUGGACUGUAACUGACACUGAGGCACGAAAGCGUGGGGAUCGAACAGGAUUAGAUACCCGUGUAGUC
rnacentral:rRNA from 1 species